rnacentral:rRNA from 1 species
GCUUGUCUCAAAGAUUAAGCCAUGCAUGUCUCAGUACAAGCCAAAUUAAGGUGAAACCGCGAAAGGCUCAUUAAAUCAGUUAUGGUUCCUUAGAUCGUACCCACAAUUACUUGGAUAACUGUGGUAAUUCUAGAGCUAAUACAUGCAAACAGAGCUCCGACCGGAGACGGAAGGAGUGCUUUUAUUAGAUCAAAACCAAUCGGUGGCGGGUUCGCUCGUUAUCGUACAACUUGGUGACUCUGAAUAACUUUACGCUGAUCGCACGGUCAUCGCACCGGCGACGCAUCUUUCAAAUGUCUGCCUUAUCAACUGUCGAUGGUAGGUUCUGCGCCUACCAUGGUUGUAACGGGUAACGGGGAAUCAGGGUUCGAUUCCGGAGAGGGAGCCUGAGAAACGGCUACCACAUCCAAGGAAGGCAGCAGGCGCGCAAAUUACCCACUCCCGGCACGGGGAGGUAGUGACAAAAAAUAACGAUACGGGACUCAUCCGAGGCCCCGUAAUCGGAAUGAGUACACUCUAAACCCUUUAACGAGGAUCAAUUGGAGGGCAAGUCUGGUGCCA